rnacentral:rRNA from 1 species
UACGGAGGAUCCAAGCGUUAUCCGGAUUUAUUGGGUUUAAAGGGUGCGUAGGCGGCCUAUUAAGUCAGGGGUGAAAGACGGUAGCUUAACUAUCGCAGUGCCUUUGAUACUGAUGGGCUUGAAUGUAGUUGAGGUAGGCGGAAUGUGACAAGUAGCGGUGAAAUGCAUAGAUAUGUCACAGAACACCAAUUGCGAAGGCAGCUUACUAAAGUAUGAUUGACGCUGAGGCACGAAAGCGUGGGGAUCAAACAGG